rnacentral:rRNA from 1 species
UAGGGAAUUUUCGUCAAUGGGCGCAAGCCUGAACGAGCAAUGCCGCGUGAACGAGGAAGGUCUUCGGAUCGUAAAGUUCUGUUGAAGGGGAAAAAGAGCGGAGAGAGGAAAUGCUUUCUGAUUGAUAUUACCCUUCGAGGAAGUCACGGCUAACUACGUGCCAGCAGCCGCGGUAAUACGUAGGUGGCGAGCGUUAUCCGGAAUGAUUGGGCGUAAAGGGUGCGUAGGCGGCCUGCUAAGUCUGGAGUGAAAGGUACCGGCUCAACCGGUACAGGCUCUGGAAACUGGCGGGCUAGAGAGCAG